UACAGAGGCCCCAAGCAUUAUCCGGAAUCACUGGGCGUAAAGGGUGUGUAGGCGGUUGUGUUAGUCCUUCGUGAAAGCUCCCUGGCUCAACCAGGGAAACGCGGUGGAAACGGCACAACUUCGAGGACGCGAGAGGUACAGGGAACUCAUGGUGUAGGGGUGAAAUCCGUUGAUAUCAUGGGGAACACCAAAUGCGAAGGCACUGUACUGGCGCGCUCCUGACGCUGAAACACGAAAGCGUGGGAAUCGAAUGGG
rnacentral:rRNA from 1 species